UUAGAGGAAGUAAAAGUCGUAACAAGGUUUCCGUAGGUGAACCUGCGGAAGGAUCAUUACCGAGGGAAGGUCUCCUGCAGGCCUGAUCUCCCACCCGUGUGGACUGGACCAUGUUGCUUCGGCGGGCCCGCCGGUUCUCCGGCCGCCGGGAGGCCGGGGGGGCAUUAGUCCCCCCGCCUUCGGGCCUGUGCCCGCCGGGGUCUGACCGAAAACUCAUGUUUUGGAUCGGUGUCUGAGUUUGUGGAACAGUGAGCAAAAAACUUUCAACAAUGGAUCUCUUGGUUCCGGCAUCGAUGAAGAACGCAGCGAAUUGCGAUAAGUAAUGUGAAUUGCAGAAUUCCGUGAAUCAUCGAAUCUUUGAACGCACAUUGCGCCCUCUGGUAUUCCGGAGGGCAUGCCUGUCCGAGCGUCAUUGCCAUCCCUCAAGCGCGGCUUGGGUGUUGGGCCGUUCGUUCCCACCGUGUGGUGGGGACGGGCCCGAAAGGCAGUGGUGGCACCGCUGUGGUCCCGGAGCGUAUGGGGCUCUGUCACCCGCUCUGGGGGGCUGGAUCGGUGCCGGCGUGGAUUGAAUCGAUCGUCAGGUUGACCUCGGAUCAGGUAGGGGUACCCGCUGAACUUAAGCAUAUCAAUAAGCGGAGGAAAAGAAACCAACCGGGAUUGCCCCAGUAACGGCGAGUGAAGCGGCAAGAGCUCAAAUUUGAAAUCUGGCCUCCCCCGCGGGGGCCCGAGUUGUAAUUUGGAGAGGAUGCUUCGGGUCCGGCCCCUGUCGAAGUGCCCUGGAACGGGCCGUCGGAGAGGGUGAGAAUCCCGUCUGGGAUGGGCCGCCGGGCCCGGGUGAAGCUCCUUCGACGAGUCGAGUUGUUUGGGAAUGCAGCUCCAAGUGGGUGGUAAAUUUCAUCUAAAGCUAAAUACUGGCCGGAGACCGAUAGCGCACAAGUAGAGUGAUCGAAAGAUGAAAAGCACUUUGAAAAGAGAGUUAAAGAGCAUGUGAAAUUGUUGAAAGGGAAGCGCUGGCGACCAGACUCACGCGGGGAGGUCCCCCCGGCACGUGUGUCGGCACAUGCCCCCCCGUGUGGGCCAGCGUCGGUUCGGUGGGGUCGCUGAAAGGUCCCCGGAAUGUAGCGCCCUCCGGGGCGUCUUAUAGCCGGGGAUGCCAUGUGACCCUCGGGAUCGAGGAAC
rnacentral:rRNA from 1 species